rnacentral:lncRNA from 10 species
UAAUACAGAGAAGUCAGUCAAAGGACAGAGGGGACAUUUGGAUAAUUACCAUCUAUUGGCUAGUCAAUCACGCGAACAGAGAGAAACUGCACAAAACCCACAAUGGAGUUGGGAAACAAAAGAGACCCGAGCCAGACUCAGGAUUAACCGGUCUAAAGCGAUCUAAAUGCUUUUGUAUCUGAAGAACUGAGGCUCCCGGGUUGCCCCCCCCACACACACACCAACAAUCCCAGGGAACUAAUUGCGGGGAUCAGAGUUAAAGCUCUCUCCCUCCUUUCCCAUUUCUCUUUGUAGACUGCUCACCACGCAGAAAAAAAAAAAUGAUUUCUCUCUCUGUGUUCAUUAAACUAUUUUAAAGUUAAAGAGGUGGGGGAGGGGGAUAGAUGUAGCCCCUCAGUCCAGAAGCUGGGAUUCCUCUGCCGUCGAAGAGGCUGGGACAGUCUCGGUUGGUCUCAAUUCUUUGUUUCAGGGUAAAGUCUUCCUUGCUUGCCCCGUGGAAACAAAUGCCCCUUGCACCUGGGCUGCGGCUGGGCAGCUGCCCCUUUCCUGCGGGCUACUACGGAUUGCUGGUGCCCUGCUUUGGGUGAGGAGUCCCCACAGCUGGCCCCUGCACUAGAAAAACACAAGGUAGAUCCCUCCAGCUGAAGACAAAUUGAUCUGCACAGCCAGGAUUAUGGGGGUGAAGGGCAGCAUAGGAAUGGGUCUAGCCUUGGAAAUGGGAAAGUGAGCCACAGAAGGUGGUUCCAAAUUGUGGGGAGAGAGAAUUUCCUUUUAAACUGGGGAGUGAGAAAGAGGAAGAAAAUCCUUCUAAAUUGGAGGAGGGAGGGGAUGUGCUUAAUUGGGGAAGAGGAAUGGGAAAAGACUCCUGCUUGAGAAGAAGGGUGGCAAAGAGGUGAUUCCUCAAAAGAGACACUGGAAAAUAAUGUCUAUAAAAUUUUAGGGAUUCGGAGAGGAUAGUGACAGAGGAAGAGAAUUCCUUAAAAGAGAAAAAGAUCUGGACAGAAGAUCUCUGUACCUGAGCGUGAGACUCCCCCACGCUCCAGACAGAGCGGCAACUGCCAGCCACUUGCCACCAGGUCCUCCCUUUGACAAGCCCAACUCGCCCAAAGCCCUCCCGGCCCGACGGGGCCCUCCCGUGCUCCCGGCUCAGUGGCAGCGGCGGUUCCCGGUCCGGGUCCGCGGGUGCCUGCCGUGGCCCUCCCCGCACCACGCGCAGCCCUCCAGGCCCCCGGGGCGCGCCGAGGCGCUUCCUUACCUUGCUUCAGGGAUGUUUCCCGGACCGAGUGUGGCUUCAGAGUCAGAGAGAUGUGAGUUCAAGACCACUUGCUUAGGUGGCUUUUGUGGACAAGAUGCGACCACCUCAUGAGGAUCAAGAUGUACUCCUUGCUCUUCUCUGCACAGCAGUCUCAAAACUAGGCUACACCGUCUGUCUCCUCUGGUCACCAUUUUGAGAGGCAGCAAGGGUCUUCCUAACCCUCAGCUCCCUCUGAUUUUUGGAAUUCAGAUUUGGAUUUUGGAUGUACAUCAAGAGGCUGGCUCCACGCAUUUUAAUUAAGUUGUCUUUUUUCAUUUAUUACUAAUACACUCCUCUUAACUAUGAUUUAUUGGUUAAACAAAGCACCAUAAGCCGUCACUUAUUCAUCUUAAUUUCAACAAAAUUAAAGUAGUCGCUGUUAGAUUGCACCUAAUUGCACUUGCAAUGAAAAGAACGGAGAUGUUAAUCAAAAUAAAUUGAAGAUAAACAAUAAAAUCAUUACAUCUUUGCGGU